rnacentral:rRNA from 1 species
AUGGACGUCGUCCCCGCGGCGGCAUCUCCCAAUCUUUACUUGCUCGACCUCGUGAGUUCCGGCCCGAAGCUCAUCGACCGUGGCCUCGUUCUCCCGGACGGCGAGGUGGACAACAUCUACCUCCCUGUCGACACGUUCCAGCUCUUACGAAUCGAUGACACUGUCGUGUAUAAGAACAUCAGCGACAUCACGGUGGUUGACAGGAGCCACCUGUACCCCGGACAGGUGGUCGGGUCGGCCUCCGACAUGGGCGGCCAAAUCGGCGUCGUCACCGGCGUCAACACCAUGCUCAACCUGGCCAAGCUCGACAACAAAGGCCUGCCAAUCAAGGUCAUCAGGGGAGUGUCCCCGUCUAGCCUGCGGCGCAUCAGGAGCCUCAACCUUGGCGACUUUGUUGUGUCCGGGCCGUGGCUCGGCCGCGUCGUGGAGGUGUCGAUCGACAUCGAUGUGUUGUUCGAUGACGGAGCCGUCUGCAGGGUCACCGAUGCGGAGUCCAAGAACCUGGUGGGAGUGUGUGUGAACAGGCACACGAGGCAUCGCCACCAAAUGAACAGUAUAUUCCACCAGGGGCAGUCCGUCGGCGGGCCAGACGCUUGUUCAAUCUUCAAGGCGGCGCGGUGGCUUAAUGGCUAUUGGCAUCCUGAACAAGACCUAGGAACCAUCAUGAAGCUGGAGACGUCUGGCGUCCUUGUCUACUGGGUUGCGUCAAUGCAUUGUGGCACCGACAAGGAGCUACUGGAGGCAUCUGCUCCUCCGGCCUACCAGAACCCAGACGAUCUAACAUUCUUCUGUGCCUCGUACAACUGCUGCUGGGGGCUUGCUGACCGCUGUUUUUUUCUUGAAACUUGUUCCAAUGAAGGGGGUGGAGCUUGCUCUCCUGAUCAACAUGAUGAUGAUGAUGAUGAUGAUGAUGAUGAUGGUGAUGAUGAUGAUGAGGAGGAGGAUGAGGAGGAGGAAUAUAACGCAUGCUCAGAGGACAAUCAAGAAGAGUGUGAAGCAUCAACCUCUCAGGUGCUACCUCCCACGAAGCAAAAAGAUCCGAGGUUUUAUCGAAAGCAGCUAAGGAAGCUUGUCUUUGAGGGCCAUAGACGGGCGCAACGGUCACAAGUCAUGAGACAUGUGGAGGUGGAGUUUCCCAUGCUCGUCGCCAACACGCGCACCACCGUAGACGUGGUAUGGCAAGACGGCACACGGCAACAAGGCAGACCUUCAGCGACCAUCGUCCCGUUUGGGAUCUGGAAUGAGCAAGAGUUCUUCCCCGGACAGCAUGUUGUCGCCAACGUUCUUCCUGUCAAUUCUGCCGUUGACGCUACUGCUGAUGUGACAACUACUAGUGUCAACAGCGACAUUGACGCAUCUGGAACUGGACCAGCAGAGCGUGUCGGCAUCGUCAAGAGCAUGCAACACGAGGACCAGACGGUUUGUGUAUCAUGGUUCAAGACGCCAGGGCAUCCUGAUGAGGCUAUGGAAGUCGAGUGCGAUGAUACCGUCAGUGCUUAUGACCUAAGAUUGGACUCUAGCCACUCUGCUUACUAUGGUGAUAUUGUCAUUCGUAUCGUACCAUCAGUAUCAACAGAUGACGGUGGAAGUGCACCCUUGUCACAGGGAAACAAGAAGAAAAAUGUCGUUCCCGCCGAUCUUUCAUGGGUGGGGCGGGUAGUUGAACUUCCUAAUGGGCACGUCCAAGUCAAGUGGGGUGAUGGUAGCAUGUCAACGGUAUCGCCUCAUGAGAUCGUUGUCAUCAAAGAUGAGCACUACAUGGAGCUAUGGCUUGAAAUGGGUGAUUGGGUAGAGGACAAUGGCGUCGAUGACGCACCCGAAGAACCGGUUGCUGCCAACACGGACAUUGAUCUUCAGAAUCUAGAUAACGAUGUCGAAAGCGUCGGCCCGGCAAUGUCAAGGACAAGACUUUUAGGUUUGUCAUUCUGGUCUUUCCUCCAAUUGACCAGCGACAUGGUGGCUCGAGGUAAAGGAUACUUGAUGAACUGGCGGUCAUCGUCGUCGUCGUUGCCAAGCUCAGAGUUACCCACGCCCAUAAACGAUGAUAGUAUAGGUGGUGCUGCAGUGGAGACCAGCGAUGCUGCUGUAGAUGUGACCAGCCACGGUUUUGACGGUGGGCCAAAGGCUGCAGGUGCUACCUGUUGCUCCGAUGAAUCGUUGUGCUUUCCACGUUUCGAUGUAUUGCAGAUCAGCCCUUUGGAUCACCACUACCUUGACACUACGGACCAGGGCGCUAGUCGUGCGAAGAGUUGGGCUAAAGCAGUGCAAAAGGAAUGGAAAAUUCUGGAGAACGACUUACCAGGAACCAUCUACGUGCGAGCGUUCGAGGACCGCAUGGAUCUGCUCCGGGUGGUUAUGGUGGGCGCAAGCGGGACACCGUAUCAUGACGGCCUCUUCUUCUUCGAUCUGCAGCUACCUCCUUCGUACCCGGAUGCCCCACCGCAAGUGUAUUACCACUCAUUCGGCCUACGCCUCAAUCCAAACCUCUAUGAGUCUGGUACAGUGUGCCUCAGCCUGCUAAACACAUUCGGUGGCGAGGGCACCGAGGUCUGGUCCUCGACGGAGUCGAGCCUCCUCCAAGUCGUUGUCUCCAUCCAGGGCCUUGUCCUCAAUGACAAACCAUACUACAAUGAGACUGGCUACGAGACAAUGGUCGACAAACCGGAGGGCCGCCGCAAUGCGCUGCCCUACAGUGAGAAUGCUUACCUGCUCACCCUUCGGACCAUGCUACACCUUUUACGUCGGCCACCUCAGGGAUUUGAGGAAUUCGUUAAGGAACACUUCCGCCAUCGGGGAAGGUUUGUGCUCAGGGCAUGCAACGCGUGGCUGCAGGGAAAUAUGGUCGACAAUGCUCAUGCCACUGAAGUGAGUAGGAAGCAGCCGUGCUCGGCUGGGUUAAGGCUUGCACUCACCAAGGUAGUGCCAAGCCUCGUGGCAGCCUUCACAGAGAUCCGAGCCGAGGGGUGCGAAGAGUACCAGUAG